rnacentral:rRNA from 1 species
GGCUCGAGUUUUUAGCAGAUAGAGUUUGAUCCUGGCUCAGGACUAACGCUGGCGGCAUGCAUCAUACAUGCAAGUCGAACGGAUUGCGGGUAGCAAUAUCUGCAGUUAGUGGCGAACGGGUGAGUAACACGUAGGUAACCUGCCCUCGUGACUGGGAUAACCUGCCGAAAGGCGGGCUAAUACCGGAUAUGACCACAGUCCCGCAUGGGACAGGGGUAAAAGGCUGGCCCGCAAGGGCUACCACACAAGGAUGGGCCUGCGCACUAUCAGGUAGUUGGUGGGGUAACGGCCUACCAAGCCUAUGACGGUUAGCCGGCUUGAGAGAGUGAACGGCCACACUGGAACUGAGACACGGUCCAGACUCCUACGGGAGGCAGCAGUAGGGAAUCUUCCGCAAUGGGCGAAAGCCUGACGGAGCAAUGCCGCGUGAGUGAUGAAGGCCUUCGGGUCGUAAAGCUCUGUUGAGGGGGAAGAAUGCUGUAUCCGAUAAUACCGGAUACGGUUUGACGGUACUCCUCGAGGAAGCCCCGGCUAAUUACGUGCCAGCAGCCGCGGUAAUACGUAAGGGGCAAGCGUUGUCCGGAAUCACUGGGCGUAAAGCGCACGUAGGCGGCUUGGCAAGUCAGGGGUGCAAGCUCUAGGCUUAACCUAGAAAUUGCCUCUGAAACUACCUCGCUUGAGGGUCAGAGGGGAAACUGGAAUUCACGGUGUAGCGGUGAAAUGCGUAGAUAUCGUGGAGAACACCCGUGGCGAAGGCGGGUUUCUGGCUGACAACUGACGCUGAGGUGCGAAAGCUAGGGGAGCGAACGGGAUUAGAUACCCCGGUAGUCCUAGCCGUAAACGAUGAGUACUAGGUGUGGGGAUUAACAUCUCCGUGCCGACGCCAACGCAUUAAGUACUCCGCCUGGGGACUACGGCCGCAAGGUUAAAACUCAAAGGAAUUGACGGGGGCCCGCACAAGCAGUGGAGCAUGUGGUUUAAUUCGAUGCAACGCGAGGAACCUUACCUGGGCUGACAUCCCGUGCAAUCCGUGGAAACACGGGUUCCGUAGCAAUACGGCGCGGAGACAGGUGGUGCAUGGCUGUCGUCAGCUCGUGUCGUGAGAUGUUGGGUUAAGUCCCGCAACGAGCGCAACCCCUGUCGAUAGUUGCCAUCAUUAAGUUGGGGACUCUAUCGAGACUGUCGGUAACAAGCCGAAGGAAGGUGGGGAUGACGUCAAGUCAUCAUGCCCCUUAUGCCCAGGGCUACACACGUGCUACAAUGGCCAGUUCAAAGGGCAGCGACACCGACAGGUGAAGCUAAUCCCCAAAGCUGGUCUAAGUUCAGAUUGUAGAUUGAAACUCAUCUACAUGAAGUUGGAAUUGCUAGUAAUCGUGAAUCAGCAUGUCACGGUGAAUACGUUCCCGGGCCUUGUACACACCGCCCGUCACACCACCCGAGUCGGGUGCACCCGAAGUCGCUUUAACUAACCGCAAGGAAGUGGGCGCCGAAGGUGUGCUUGGUGAGGGGGGUGAAGUCGUAACAAGGUAGCCGUACCGGAAGGUGCGGCUGGAUCACCUCCUUAU